UACAGAGGUCCCAAGCGUUGUUCGGAUUCACUGGGCGUAAAGGGUGCGUAGGUGGUUAGGUAAGUCCGAUGUGAAAUCUCCAGGCUCAACCUGGAAAUGGCAUUGGAUACUAUCUAGCUUGAGGAGUGGAGGGGGGACUGGAAUUCCUGGUGUAGCGGUGAAAUGCGCAGAUAUCAGGAGGAACACCGGUGGCGAAGGCGGGUCUCUGGGCAAUAACUGACGCUGAGGAGCGAAAGCGUGGGGAGCGAACAGG
rnacentral:rRNA from 1 species